GGGUUGUGAGGUUAAGCGACUAAGCGUACACGGUGGAUGCCCUGGCAGUCAGAGGCGAUGAAGGGCGUGCUAAUCUGCGAUAAGCGCCGGUAAGGUGAUAUGAACCGUUAUAACCGGCGAUACCCGAAUGGGGAAACCCAGUGUGACUCGUCACACUAUCAUUAACUGAAUCCAUAGGUUAAUGAGGCGAACCGGGGGAACUGAAACAUCUAAGUACCCCGAGGAAAAGAAAUCAACCGAGAUUCCCCCAGUAGCGGCGAGCGAACGGGGAGGAGCCCAGAGCCUGAAUCAGCAUGUGUGUUAGUGGAAGCGUCUGGAAAGGCGCGCGAUACAGGGUGACAGCCCCGUACACAAAAGCGCAUGUGCUGUGAGCUCGAUGAGUAGGGCGGGACACGUGGUAUCCUGUCUGAAUAUGGGGGGACCAUCCUCCAAGGCUAAAUACUCCUGACUGACCGAUAGUGAACCAGUACCGUGAGGGAAAGGCGAAAAGAACCCCGGCGAGGGGAGUGAAAAAGAACCUGAAACCGUGUACGUACAAGCAGUGGGAGCACAGGUUUACCUGUGUGACUGCGUACCUUUUGUAUAAUGGGUCAGCGACUUAUAUUCUGUAGCAAGGUUAACCGAAUAGGGGAGCCGGAGGGAAACCGAGUCUUAAUUGGGCGUUAAGUUGCAGGGUAUAGACCCGAAACCCGGUGAUCUAGCCAUGGGCAGGUUGAAGGUUGGGUAACACUAACUGGAGGACCGAACCGACUAAUGUUGAAAAAUUAGCGGAUGACCUGUGGCUGGGGGUGAAAGGCCAAUCAAACCGGGAGAUAGCUGGUUCUCCCCGAAAGCUAUUUAGGUAGCGCCUCGUGAAUUCAUCUCCGGGGGUAGAGCACUGUUUCGGCUAGGGGGCCAUCCCGGCUUACCAACCCGAUGCAAACUGCGAAUACCGGAGAAUGUUAUCACGGGAGACACACGGCGGGUGCUAACGUCCGUCGUGAAGAGGGAAACAACCCAGACCGCCAGCUAAGGUCCCAAAGUCAUGGUUAAGUGGGAAACGAUGUGGGAAGGCCCAGACAGCCAGGAUGUUGGCUUAGAAGCAGCCAUCAUUUAAAGAAAGCGUAAUAGCUCACUGGUCGAGUCGGCCUGCGCGGAAGAUGUAACGGGGCUAAACCAUGCACCGAAGCUGCGGCCGCAA
rnacentral:rRNA from 1 species